CAGGUGCAAUUAAGUUAGCCAAUCAAUAAACCUAACAAUCGAGAGAUUAUCCAGGUGGGCCUGACUUAAUCAUAUAAACUCUUUAAAUCUGGGUGUAGAGGUUAGCGACAGAGAAAUCAGAUACUAGAUGCAUCCUUUCUGACUUGAAGAUGAAGGCAAUUUUGUGACAAGUGAUGCUGGUGGCAUGUAAGACCUGUAAGCAGGCCCCAGCUGACAGUCCGUUAGAAAGGAAACAGGGGCUGCAGUUCUCCAACUGCAAAACACGGAAUUUUGCUUGAAAUUUAACUUGGAAGCAGACUUUCUCCCAGAGCUUCUAGAUGAAAACUCAGCCUGGCCAACCCCUUGGUGUCAGCUUUGUGUUACCCUGAGCAGGUACCCAAGACAUAUGGUUCUGGACUGCGGACCCACGGAAAGGCAUCCACAUCUACCACCCGUGACCAGACUUCUCCACCUGUUGGCGAGCUUAAGUUAAAGUUAUCAAUAUAUGCCCCAAAACAGCAAUCACCUGGAUGAGAAGCAGAUGACAUCUAAUGUAGACUGUGAAUCCCAAGACACAGACCAGUCCCUGGACGGCUGCUUUCUCUUACAAUGCCAAGACCCUGAUUACACUCUGGUGACAAGAGCUACUUUCAAUCCAAGGAAAGAAGAGGCUUUCUCACUAUUCACACGCGGAGGCACGUGGCAUUUCCUCUGAAACCCAUGAAGCAGACCUCUGCAGCAGUGUUUCCUCGUGCUACGAAAUGGGGCCAAUUCUGGCCAUUAUGUUCACCAGCUUUAUAUAUUCCCUUACUUAUACAAUAGUAGGAAAAUUAAAGUUAAUUCUUUUCAGUUUUGACGGUAUCUAAGAGGCCUUUAUUUGAUGUCAAUAAGUAUCCCAUUUAAAAAUGAGAAAACAAGAAUAUUCACUUACUAUGAAGUGGGUACAUGUAUAGGAGAGAGAAAAAUAGAAAAAUAGGAGACAAAAGAUGAUAUUGUGAGUCCUUAAUUUUAAAAUGAUAUAAUUUUGUUUUGAAUUAAAGUUUUUGAUAAAAUAUCAUUUAACCUGCUAUUGAAGGUACUUCCAAGUUGAUAAAACUAUUAAGAUAAAAAUGAAUUUCAUAUUUUAAGCAAAAUGUGAAAGUAGUACCCCACUUAUUAAAUACAUUGUUCAAACCUCAAUAGAACAGUAUUACAUCUCUAAUUUGUAUCUGCUUAUUAUAUAAUAAAUAUUGGAAAUCACAACCCUAAUCAUCGUAGAUAAAAAGAUACGCAACUUUUGAAUGGUGGAAAAUUUUAACGUUAAUUUAAAAAAAUUAGCCUGAGGUAAAAACAAUAAGAGAAUCCCAUGAAAUGCUUAAUGAAUCAUUUAUUUAAAUCUUCUCACCAUGAAUUUUUAUCUUUUCAGACCAAACGUUUAAUUUAAAAAAUCACAUUUUAAAUAGCUUUAUUGAGGUAUGAUUUGCAUACAAUAAAAUUCACUUGUUUCAUAUAUAUAAUUCAAUGACUUUUAAUAAACUUGGUGUUGUGCAACCAGCACUGCAGUUCAAUUUUAAAGAUCUUCAUCACUGAAAAAGAGCCUUUGUGCCUAUUUGCAGUUAUUUCCUGUCCCCACCUCAGCUACAGGCAACUAUUAACCUAUUUUACGCACCUAGAGAUUUGCCUUUUCAUAUAGAUGGAAUGAUCCAUUUUGUGGCUUUUUGUGUCAGGCUUUUCAUAAACAUAAUGUUUUUAAAGUUUGUCCAUGUUGUAGAAUGUGCUUGUUUCUCUUUAUUGCUGAAUGGUAUUUCGUUAUCUGGAUAGACCACAUUUGUUUAUUCAUUGAGUAGAUGGACAUUUGAGUUAUUUCUAGUUUUUCGGGUUUUAUGAACAAUGCUGCUAAACAUCCUCAUAAAAAUAUUUGUGUGGACAUAUUUCCAUUUCCAUUAGAUGGAUCCUAAAGAUGGAAUUGCUAGAUUGUAUGGUAAAUUUAUGUAUAUCCUUUCAAGAAACUGUCAAACUCUUUUCCAAAGCGUCUACGUCAUUUUAUAUUCCCACCUACAAUGUAUGAAGCUCCAGGGCUGUCCCACUGUAGAAACAGCAUGGAGAACGACUCAAGUGUCGCAGCCAACUGACCCAAUUAACUCCCAGACAUGGCAAUGUGCUACCUUAGAUCACGCAGCACUGGUCAAUUCAUCAAGUGAUGGCAGCUCUAAGCAAGAUGAGCCAACAAAGUUCCAAGCUGAGCCUGGUCCACAUUAGAGUAUCAUGAGUGGAUAAAUGCAAACAAAUACCAUUGUCGCAUAAAAUCUUCCUUGUUGCAAACAUAGAAAGAAUAUUGGAUCAUAUGAAACUUUUGUUUUAUUAUAAGUAGAAGUUCUAUUCCUAAAUAACAUUUCUGCUUUUGAAUUAUUGGUGUUCUCUGGAAAUUUUUGGUAAUCACUACUAUUGCUAACUUAAAUAUGGAACAAGGGACAUGGAAAAGAGCAC
rnacentral:lncRNA from 1 species